GAUGAACGCUGGCGGCGUGCUUAACACAUGCAAGUCGAGCGAAGCACUUAUGAAGAUUCUUCGGAUGAAUCAUUUGUGACUGAGCGGCGGACGGGUGAGUAACGCGUGAGUAACCUGCCUUAUACAGGGGAAUAGCAGUUAGAAGUGACUGCUAAUGCCGCAUAAGCGCACAGGACCGCAUGGUCCGGUGUGAAAAACUCCGGUGGUAUGAGAUGGACUCGCGUCUGAUUAGCUGGUUGGUGAGGUAACGGCCCACCAAGGCGACGAUCAGUAGCCGGCCUGAGAGGGUGAACGGCCACAUUGGGACUGAGACACGGCCCAAACUCCUACGGGAGGCAGCAGUGGGGAAUAUUGCACAAUGGGGGAAACCCUGAUGCAGCGACGCCGCGUGAGUGAAGAAGUAUUUCGGUAUGUAAAGCUCUAGCAGCAGGGAAGAAAAUGACGGUACCUGACUAAGAAGCCCCGGCUAACUACGUGCCAGCCGCCGCGGUAA
rnacentral:rRNA from 1 species